CACGCACGGGCCGCAGCUGCCCACCUCUCAUCCGCUCGGCCUUUCGGCAGGUUGCUUGGGCGCAGGUGAGGACCUGCAGGCAGUACCCACGGUGCGCCCGCCCCCAGAGCCCCCAGCCCCUCAGGUGGGCCUCGCGUCCCCCGGCAGGCCGCCGCCAGCUCGUCGCAGGCCUCAGCCCUCCAGCUUCCUACUUCUAAAGGCGACAUGGACUUACUUCCCGGCCUGGUAUUACCUGUUCAGUGUGGCUGGGGAGCCCGUGGAUGAACUAGACAGCUCAGACUACCUCCGAUGUUCCUGCGCUCCUGGUCAUUGUGAACAGCCAGUACCAGUCCUGUCGGUACUGGUCCUGGGUUGGCUGGGCCAAUGACAUUGCCCUCCUCAAGCUUGAGUGGCCAGUCCAGUACAACUGGUAUGUUUGGCCCAUCUGCCUGCCUGGCCUGGUCUGAGGUGAAGAACCACUCCAUCUGCACUGUGACAGGCUGGGGACUCCCCCUGGGUUGAUGGCGUGUGGCCCCAGUUCUGGACCGUUCAGGAGAAGGAAGUCACCAUCCUCAACAGCAGAGAACGUGAUAACUUCUACCACAGGUUCGCCAGAAUCCUCUCUGGUUCGGAUCCUCAGUUCCCAGAUGAUCUGUGCAGAGGACUUUGAUGGGGAACAGUUCUGCAGGAGAUAAGCGGCGAGCCCUUGGCCUGUCCUGUGGAGAGCACAUGGAACCUGGUGGGAAUGGUGAGCUGCAGCCCAGGAUGCAAGAAGAGUGAGGCCCCGCCCAUCUACCUGCAGAUCUCUUCCUACAAAUGCUGGAUCUGAGAGCAUAACAGCGGGCAGGCUGUGCUGGCCCCAUCCAGGGCCCUGCUCCUGGCACUCCCGCUGUCCCUCAGGCUCCCUGCUGCCCUCUGACACUCUCAUGCUGUCCCUCGGGCAUCCUCCCCACCCUCCGUGCCCAGAAUGCUUCAGGUGCCCUACAAGGCAGGGCAGAGACUAGGUGCUCAAUUAAACACUUCUCUUCGGCACACCUCCUCCUUCCUGGGCCUUGGAGGCCUCUCACUCCCUGGGCCUGCUCAGGUGGAAGGUGACAGAACUUGAUGGGUGGGAUGGGGGCUCCAGGCAGUUUAUACUGAAAAGAGCAAGGCAUCAGGAACUGUGUCCAUCCUGUGGAAGGUGCUGGGAGCAUGUUGGGAUGGUAUUGGGCUCCGACGAUGGAGGGCCUGGAGUACACUGCCGAGGCUGAAGCUGGGGCUGCCUGGACACAGUGGGAGCUGGGGAGGGUGCAGCUCUGUCGCUUUUUGUGAUACUUUAGUGGGAGUCAGGCUCUCCUGGACUUUGACAUGUUUCCCUACUGGCAGCUUGAACAUACUAUCAUUGCCCUGAAGCACCAUAGUGACCUUUGACCUCCCAGCCCUGCCUGGAGACUGGGGCAGGUGCCCACUAGGACGGGACAU